UGAUCCUCCUGCCUCAGCCUUCCGAGCGUUGGGAUUACAGUGAAUUUUGACUUUGAGAAGAGCCAGAAGGCACUUGGAGCCAGAUCUAAUGAAUAAGAUGCAGGAGGAUGCACUGGAUGGCUUUUCCACGAUGGCCUUUCCCUUGAGUACCACUUGUCUGCAUCAUCCACUGUAUUUUUCAUCAUGCUAUAUGUGGUGAACACAUUCGCGAAAGAGGACUUCCAGAACUUCCUCAGGAUGUGGCAGGAAAUAUGGAGAAAUCAAGGACAACUUAAUCACUGGCUAGUACAGGACUGAGGACUGAAGACUGGGGACCACUGACAUAUCUUCCAGGCCCUUUUCCUAGCCAGUUUCAGCGGGGUCAUAAUUCUACCAUCACGUCAGAACGGAGACUGUCUUUCCUUGAGGCUUGUCUUCUAUUCGUAGGGCAUUCAUUUAUUUAACAAACACAAGCCAGGCCUGUGCUGUGUGCCAGGGACACAGACAUAAAAGUCCCUGCCUGCAGAAACGCACAAUCUGUAAACAGAUCAUUUUUCUGUUGAAUCUGUUGUUGCUGGUUCAUGUUCCUCAGAACAGUCAUGGACAUCAAAAACACAUGAAAGAGAAAUACAACCUGUGCCGUCUUCUUAAACAUUAAGCCUA